GCAAGAUACCACGGGCGCACGGCGGAUGCCUUGGCACAGGGAGCCGAUGAAGGACGCGGCAAGCUGCGAUAAUCCCCGGCGAGGAGCACACAUCCUUCGACCCGGGGGUCUCCGAAUGGGCGAACCCAUCCACAGCAGUGUGGAUAUCCCCACCCCGAACACAUAGGGGCGGGGAGGACAACCCGGGGAACUGAAACAUCUAAGUACCCGGAGGAGAGGAAAUCAAUCUCGAGACUCCCCGAGUAGCGGCGAGCGAAAGGGGACCGAUGGCCAAACCGUCGAGCGGGCAUACCCGGCAGGGGUUCCGCCGACGGGGUUGCAGGGCCGCGCAUCCGGGGGCUGCCGCCCCCGGGCGCAGGUCCGGCUGGGGAGCGGAACGGCAUGGGAGGGCCGGCCGCAGCGGGUGACAGCCCCGUACGCGAACCCAGACCGGACGGCGCGACGCGGUCCCUGAGUAGGGCCGGGCACGUGAAACCCGGUCCGAACCUGGGUGGACCACCAUCCAAGCCUGAGUACUACCCUGUGACCGAUAGCGCACCAGUACCGUGAGGGAAAGGUGAAAAGCACCCCGGGAGGGGAGUGAAACAGUACCUGAAACCGUGCGCCCACGAGCAGUCGGAGCACCUUUAUGGUGUGACGGCGUGCCUUUUGUAGAAUGAGCCAGCGAGUCGCUGGCGCGGGGCGAGGUUAACCGAAAGGGAGCCGGAGCGAAAGCGAGCCUUAACAGGGCGACUUGAGUCCCGCGCCGCGGACGCGAAGCCGGGUGAGCUAUCCGUGGGCAGGCUGAAGCGGGGGUAAGACCCCGUGGAGGGCCGAACGCACGUCGGUUGAAAACGGCGGCGAUGACCUGCGGAUAGGGGUGAAAGGCCAAUCAAACCCGGAGAUAUCUCGUUCUCCCCGAAAUAGCUUUAGGGCUAGCGUCGAGGUAGAGAGUUGCGUGAAGGUAGAGCACUGAAUAUGUGAUGGCCCCAUCUCGGGGUACUGAGCAUAAUCAAACUGCGAAUGUCACGGAAACAUACUCGGCAGUCAGACAGCGGGUGAUAAGGUCCGUUGUCAAGAGGGAAACAGCCCAGACCAUCAGCUAAGGUCCCAAAAUGUAUGCUAAGUGGAAAAGGAUGUGGAGAUGUACAGACAACUAGGAGGUUGGCUCAGAAGCAGCCAUCCUUUAAAGAGUGCGUAACAGCUCACUAGUCGAAUGACUCUGCGCCGAUAAUUUACCGGGGCUAAGCAUACUACCGAAGCUAUGGAUCCCAAGGGAUGGUAGGGGAGCGUUCCAUGAACGGAGAAGCGCGAUCGAGAGGACGCGUGGAGAUCAUGGAAGAGAGAAUGCCGGUGUGAGUAGCGGAACGUGGGUGAGAAUCCCACGCACCGAAAACCCAAGGUUUCCAGAGGAAGGUUCGUCCGCUCUGGGUAAGUCGGGACCUAAGGCGAGGCCGAGAGGCGUAGUCGAUGGACAACAGGUAGAGAUUCCUGUACUCAUAUAUAUGUGAAGGAAUGACGGAGAGAGGAAGCUGCAGCCAGCGGCUGGAAGAGCUGGUGCAAGCGAGAUAUCGGGAUGGCAGGCAAAUCCACCAUCCGAAACGAGAAGGCGUGAAGCGUACGGAAAGCUAAGGCGAGUACGGAAGGCAGUGGAGGAGCUUCCAAGAAAAGUUUCUAACGAAAGUAUAUGUGACCCGUACCGAAAAUGGACACACAUGGGUGAGGAGAGAAUCCUAAGGUGAGCGAGAGAACUAUAGCUAAGGAACUCUGCAAAAUGACUCCGUAACUUAGGGAGAAGGAGUGCUCAUAGAGAUAUGAGCCGCAGUGAAACGGCCCAAGCGACUGUUUACCAAAAACACAGCUCUCUGCUAAGCCGCAAGGCGAAGUAUAGGGGGUGACGCCUGCCCGGUGCUGGAAGGUUAAGGGGAGGGGUUAACGCAAGUGAAGCCCUGAACUGAAGCCCCAGUAAACGGCGGCCGUAACUAUAACGGUCCUAAGGUAGCGAAAUUCCUUGUCAGGUAAGUUCUGACCCGCACGAAAGGCGUAACGAUUUGGGCGCUGUCUCAGCUGUAGACUCGGUGAAGUCUUAGUACCUGUGAAGAUGCAGGUUACCCGCGACUAGACGGAAAGACCCCAUGGAGCUUCACUGCAGGUUGAUAUUGGGAUUUGAUGCAGCAUGUACAGGAUAGGUAGGAGGCAAAGAGAUGGAUACGCCAGUAUUCAAGGAGCCGCUGUUGGGAUACUACCCCUGUUGUAUUGGAUUUCUAACCGGACGACGUAAAGCCGUUGACGGGACAGUGUCAGUCGGGCAGUUUGACUGGGGCGGUCGCCUCCCAAAGAGUAACGGAGGCGCCCAAAGAUACCCUCAGCUUGGAUGGAAACCAAGCGCAGAGUGCAAAGGCAAAAGGGUGUUUGACUGCGAGACCUACAAGUCGAGCAGGGACGAAAGUCGGGCUUAGUGAUCCGGCGGUGCUGAAUGGAAAGGCCGUCGCUCAACGGAUAAAAGCUACCCUGGGGAUAACAGGCUGAUCUCCCCCAA
rnacentral:rRNA from 1 species